UCUCUCUCUCUCUCUGUCUCGCUCACUCUCUCUGUCUUGCGCUUGCGCCAGCGCUGCGAUCUCCUCUAGAAGGCCUACUGUCUUCAAAAAUGCCAGGUCAGGGGACAACUUUAAGAAAGUGUGUGGUCUGCCACACAGAAAUCAAUGUCGCGUGCAAAACUUGCAAGGCAUGCAAAGCAAAGCAACCUCAAAAGCUAAGGCUAAAAAAAAAAUUAGACAAAUUUGAUGAAAAGCGGGAGAGCUGGGUCCAUACCCACCAAAAAAAUCGGACCACCUCCCACAUCGUGGAUGAAGCUUCUAUGCUGCUUGAAAAAUUGCAGGCCCUGGGUGUAAGGGCUGUAAUAGUUUUGUCCAAGCCCGGAAGAAAAGAGAAUGCCUGGGUUUCAGAGGUUUU